UACGUAGGGUGCGAGCGUUGUCCGGAAUUACUGGGCGUAAAGAGCUCGUAGGUGGUUUGUCGCGUUGUUCGUGAAAACUCACAGCUUAACUGUGGGCGUGCGGGCGAUACGGGCAGACUGGAGUACUGCAGGGGAGACUGGAAUUCCUGGUGUAGCGGUGGAAUGCGCAGAUAUCAGGAGGAAUACCGGUGGCGAAGGCGGCAUCCUGGACCGGCAUUGACGCUGAGGAGCGAAAGCCAGGGGAGCAAACGGG
rnacentral:rRNA from 1 species